UGUUUUAGCAAACAGCUCUGGUGAAUGGCUGACAUAUCUGCACUGGUCCAUUUGUGAACAGGCCUGAAAAAAGAAGUGAGAACUUCAAAAAACAGAAUUGAUUGGGUUCUCUUAAGAUUAUUUUUCAAUGUCUUUGAACGUGUAUGCGUGCUUUGUGUGACGUAAUGGCAGGGAUUUGAGGCAGCUAAACUCCGCCUACUGAUCUCUGAUUGGACUACACACCUGUCAAUCAUGUACAUUCGCUGUGGAAGGGGCAACACCCGACUUUGCGCAUCGGGUAACGAGGGAGAGAAGCAGGGAGAGAGAAAAAAGA